rnacentral:lncRNA from 1 species
CCCUCCUUUCCUUCCUUCCAUCCUUCCUCCCUUCCUUUUAGUAUGUUAUUAAUCUUUGCUGGUAAUCUAACAAACUUGUUGUAAACCAUGAAAAUACCCUAAGUUCCUUGAGGCUCUACUCUAACAGAACUGGUGGAUGAGAAUCUUUGGAAGAUCAUGAGUUGGCCAAUUGAAACUCUUCCUCAGUAAUGAAUGUGGAGAGUGGCAGGAAGGAAAGCACAUGCAUCCCGACCCAGUGAGGAUGGUGGCUAGGACCUAUUUUCAAUUACAUGAAAUCAGAAGCAGACUUACCAGACGCUCUUGCUUUAUGAAGUGGGUAUGGCCUAUGCUUUUUACUUCUCAAGUUGGGUGGAAUCCAGGUGGAUAUGUAGGAAUUUUCAGUAACCCAUUAGAACAUAAUUGAUUCAUAUUAUUCUCCCUCUCAGGCCGUUUAUGGAGGAAAAAAAAAAACUUUGGUUUAUUUCUCCUUUGAGUGAGGAAGAUAAAAUGAAACAAAGCCAAACAAGCAUCUGAAAUCCAAUCAUUAAAAUGACAACUUAAGAGUUUUGCAAAGUGAAAAAAUAUUUGCAUACAUUUGAGAACGUGGCUAUGGAAUUAAGACUGAGGGGCGAGCUGAUGUGUCCCUACUAAACUCAAAUAUAUAUGAAGAGAGAGAAAGCAGCAUUUCUCAGGCCAACUUUUUAAGGCUCAUGCCCCACCAGCAAAGAAGUUAUUGGCAAGCUUUAUUUUCAAAGUUUGUAUUAUGAAAGCAAUGCAUUUCAUUUUCUAAAUAGGACACUGUAUUAUAAUAUUUAAUGUGCUUUUUCAAAAUACUGUUCCUUGACUCUACACCCUGUAUUGUUCCCUUCUACCCCUCCCCCUCUGCUUGAGGGUCACUGAACGAUACAAUUCAAGUGCCUUACUUAUAAUACUAUGCGUCUACAGCUGAUUCUGGCAAAACUUCUCAGGAUAUUCUCUGCAGGAAGUCCAAGAACAAACUUUGCUAUGUUAAAGAAAGUAAGGAAAGGUUUGGUAUUUCUUUAAAAAUACAGGAGUUCUUGUCAUGGCUCAGUGGUAAUGAACCCAAAUAGUACCCAUGAGGACGUGGGUUCAAUCCCUGGCCUUGCUCAUCGGAUUCAUUCACUGAGCCACAAUGGGAACUCCAGGAUUAUGUUUCUUGAUGAGACAUUUUUUAAAAAUUGUCACUGACACUAAUUAUGUUGUGUGGGAUCCAUGUGAUUCGAGUGGGCUAUUGAUAAUGUGAUUUGGGGCUGUACAAGAUCUUUCAUUUUGCUCUCCCAAGUCACAAAGAGAAGCUUCUAAUUUUAUGUAUUAUGUCUAGUGGCUAAAAAAUAGCUCAUAGGAAAAUGAGGGAACAGGACACAAAGAGGCAAAUUUUUCCCAAGUCAAGAAUUACACCAAAACCAAGAAUUCUUCAC